GAGUAAGGCAGCAGCAGCAGGAGUGAUCUGAAGCUGAGUCAGAGAUCUUUUGAAAUAGGAGCUCAAGUGCUGAGAGGCUGCAGAAGGCACACAGCAUUUUACAGUGACUCUGGAGCAUCAUUUUGCACUUCAGUGACUAUUGUGGCAGGUCUUCCUCUCAGCAGUGUUUAGCCUCCUGCCUCAGUGAUAUUCUUCAAACAUCCUUUUCCCCAGCCUUCAGGUGUGUGGUAGAGCCCUUUCUGGAAUGGGAGUCUUACAGUCAAACAAGGUAAGUCAGAUAAUUACUUUAUG